rnacentral:rRNA from 1 species
UUCCGGUUGAUCCUGCCGGAGGCCAUUGCUAUGGGGAUCCGAUUUAGCCAUGCUAGUCGUACGAGUUCACACUCGUGGCAGAUAGCUCAGUAACACGUGGCCAAACUACCCUCUGGACCGGAAUACCCUCGGGAAACUGAGGCUAAUUCCGGAUACCACUCGGUGCCUGGAAGGGCCCGAGAUCGAAACGCUCCGGCGCCAGAGGCUGUGGCUGCGGCCGAUUAGGUAGACGGUGGGGUAACGGCCCACCGUGCCUAUAAUCGGUACGGGUUGUGAGAGCAAGAGCCCGGAGACGGUAUCUGAGACAAGAUACCGGGCCCUACGGGGCGCAGCAGGCGCGAAACCUUUACACUGCGCGAGAGCGCGAUAAGGGGAUUCCGAGUGCGAGGACAUAGAGUCCUCGCUUUUGUACACCGUAAAGUGGUGUACGAAUAAGGGCUGGGCAAGACCGGUGCCAGCCGCCGCGGUAAUACCGGCAGCCCAAGUGAUGGCCAAUAUUAUUGGGCCUAAAGCGUCCGUAGCCGGCCGAACAGGUCCAUCGGGAAAUCCACCCGCCUAACGGGUGGGCGUCCGGUGGAAACCGUUCGGCUUGGGGCCGGAAGAUCCGAGGGGUACGUCCGGGGUAGGAGUGAAAUCCUGUAAUCCUGGACGGACCGCCGGUGGCGAAAGCGCCUCGGAAGGACGGACCCGACGGUGAGGGACGAAAGCUGGGAUCUCGAACCGGAUUAGAUACCCGGGUAGUCCCAGCCGUAAACGAUGCCCGCUAGGUGUGACGCAGGCUACGGGCCUGCGCUGUGCCGUAGGGAAGCCGUGAAGCGGGCCGCCUGGGAAGUACGUCUGCAAGGAUGAAACUUAAAGGAAUUGGCGGGGGAGCACUACAACCGGAGGAGCCUGCGGUUUAAUUGGAGUCAACGCCGGG